UGCGAAAUCAAGUUCAAUAGAGUGUGCAUAUAAUAUGACCCAAUGUAGAGCAAUCAAUGGGCUAGGGUGGCCCAAAGUUUGACCAACCCCAAGGAAACUCCUAGUACAAGCUUAAUCAAUCGUACAAACAAAAUUUGAGUGCUAAGAUCCAGAGUCGAGAGAGAAACAACCUAGAUCGUAUGCUAAGGUCCCUAAGCGAUCGCUUAGUGGAAAAGGAAGUGAUUGAGCGAUGACAACCAGGUGGUAGGCUUGGAAGCAACCACCCUUCAAAGAAAGCGUAAUAGCUCACUGGUUUAGCUGCAUGGCACCAAAAAUGUAUUGGGGUUCAAUUGAUUCACCAAAGUGACAAGACCUUGGAAGUGUUAAGCGGGCGUA
rnacentral:ncRNA from 1 species